CGGCUGUCCUAAUGCAUGCAAGUCGAGCGAUGAGGUCUUCAUUCGGGGGGCACAUCAGCGGCAGACGGGUGAGUAACACGUAGGUAACCUACCCCAGAGACAGGGAUAACCCGAGGAAACGAGGGCUAAUACCGGAUGACCUCCGGAAGGAGGAAAGGCUCAGGCGCUCUGGGAGGGGCUUGCGGCCCAUCAGCUAGUUGGUAGGGUAAAGGCAUACCAAGGCGAAGACGGGUACGGGGUGUGAGAGCACGGCCCCCACAAUGGGACUGAAACACGGCCCAUACUCCUACAGGAGGCAGCAGCAGGGAAUAUUGCACAAUAGGCGAAAGCCUGAUACAGCGACGCCGCGUGAGUGAAGAAGGCCUUCGGGUCGUAAAGCUCUUAAGUAGGGGAAGAGGAAGGACAGUACCCUAAGAAGAAGCGUCGGCUAACUACGUGCCAGCAGCCGCGGUAAGACGUAGGACGCGAGCGUAAUCCGGAAUUACAGGGCGUACAGGGCCAGCAGGCGGCUUGGUACGUUGUGCGUGAAAGCCUCGUGCUCAACGCGAGGAAGCCGGACAAUACUGUCAAGCUAGAGGGCAUCAGAGGGG
rnacentral:rRNA from 1 species